AUUCCAUCCACCAUCUGGUUGUUCCCAGAGACAGGAACAGCAGGGGCCUGGGCUUGGCUAUGCAGAUGCAUUUGGCUCUCAGUGCCAGUGCUGCCAACUUGGCCACCUGUUAUAAUGUGGGGCUGUCAUCUACAUGACCAUUUGCCAGUGCUGUUUCCAGAGAAAUUCUGUUCCUGAAGUGGCAUGACUGUCAGGGCCAAGAAGGGGCCUGGGCACAGCAGGACCACCUGCAGCAGCCAAGAGACCUGCACAGCCCCAACACAACGAGCGAUGAGGAAGGAGAGCCGAGGAGGAUCAGAUGGGAAAGACGUGUCCAGGGCCCUGCAGCUGGAAUUUGAAGUGGAUUCCAGACGUCUACCUCUUUCCGUGAAAAUCACCUGUUCCUGUUCACAGAGGGAGAAGUAAAUCUGGCUUGCUUUAAAAAAAAAAAAAAGUAUUAUGGCAUGUUUGCAGUACAUAGUGUUUACAUACAUUUUAAGAGGUAAGUACAUGUACUUAACACAUCUUAAUUCUUUUUUAUUCCCCUUCCUUUCCCCUGCUCACCCU
rnacentral:lncRNA from 1 species